GGUAAGUUACACAACAUCUAAACAGUUGGCUGCGUGUGCUGAGUUUUGUUUAGGGAAAAGCUAAAUUAUGAAAUUAGCUUGAACGUAAACGUGUUUUGCGUGUUUAAAGUAACUUUCUGGGUAGGCUAUCAUUGACUUGUUCAGAAGAUCAUAUCAGAAAGUAAAGUUUGCUAACUAGCUAAGUCUACAUUGUUACAAUGUGUCAACGGUUGUGAAAGUACUACUUUAUAGGUAACUAUAUUGCAGUACCUGCUACAAUCUGGCACUACGAAGACAGAAGUGAAAGUAACUUUAAUUUUGUAUUCCCAUUAUAUUGAAUGAUAUGAAUGCCCUAUUGAUGUGAUGACCAUAAUGGUGACGUCUUCAGAAAGGAAUUUGAUACAGAAAUAUUUGUAUUAUUAUUUUUAUUUAACCUUUAGUUAACUAGGUAAGAAAGAUGUGGUUAUCGCCCCUACUUGGCCAUGGAGAAGAAGACUGGGUGCCCAAAAUCCAUUGACAUAAAGUACUUCAGUAUAACCCCACAACCUCUUGGGAGGAAGAGCCUAAUUUCUGAGCAGGUGAAAGAAACCUAAGAUGGUGCCUUGUCAUAUUGGGGGGGGGUCUUAUGAUGAGGUGCCUCUCUGUGUCAUGGUCAACCAGUAGGCUGCACAGACUCAAGCAGAACAGAUACCCCAAAGCAAGAACAAGCCUCAUCAAGGAUAGCCCCUGCUCAGAAACCUCCUAAUAAUGUUAUAGUGAUUUCAGAGUCAAGCUGCUCCAGUGCUGACACAGCAUUCAGGAGCAGGGCAGUGAUGGGGUCUGUGGACCUGGCUCAAGUCACUGGCCAAUGUCAUAGAGCAGGAGUUGGAAUCACGUCUGGCCAGAAUGAAAUAGUAAGUACCCUCACAAUUCGAGCAGCAGUGCAGUCUGCCUCUGGGACAACCAGGGUCUCGGAUGAGAAAGUGGCAUCCAUUUUCACCAGGAAACGGGACACUAAUAAGGCCCGUAGUCCCCAACACUCACAGAGACGGAUUUUGAAUUGGUGGUCCAGCUCAACACUUAAACACAACCAGACUGAGAGGAAGGGGUCAAUUACCUCUGGCUGGAGAGAUAAGUUGUCAGGGUCUGUCCGCAAGGGGUCUCUUGAAGAGGUCAAAGUGUCUAACCCACUGUUCCCAGUCUUCACUAUGCUGCUGAAGAAAUACAAAGGUAAAAUUCUGGAGUUGGAAAGUCCAGGUAAGAUUGAGAGACUAUAGUUAACUCUAUUCUAUCUGUGUCAUGUUUUUAUUGUCAUGUAUACAGUCUGUGGUGCCAUAUUCUAGUAUCAGAUUCAGUCUUAUUGGUCGCCUUUUCUUUCAGAGACAGAGAUAGGCGCUACAUCUCCUUGCUCUGUAGGAGAAGAGGAAACGUCAGAAUGAGAGGGAGGACCCUAAAACAGGGUCAGCCUAGAAGAAGCAGGCUGAGCCGAACACAAAGACUCAGGCAGCAACAGCGGGACAGUCAAGGUCUGGGGAUAGGUCAUGAACUGACCCCUAACCCACCAAACCAACCAGAAUCUCCUCAGAAGUUCUAUCCUGCCCAACCACAGCGAUGUCUUAGGAGAGUUCACAACAUUGAGGAUUUGCUGUGGACAGAGAAGUACCGCCCUCAGCACUCCAGUGAGACUCGUGGAACUGUGGCGAUUUCCGGGGAAAGGCUAGAGUGGAGGAGGAAGAUCUGUGUAGCACCAUGCUGAUCACAGGACCUCCAGGGAUGGGCAAGACUGCCUUAGUAUACGCCUGCGCUCAGGAGCUGGGCUUCAAGGUGUUCGAAGUGAACGCCUCCUCGCAGCGCAGCGGUCGCCACGUCCUGACUCAACUGAAAGAGGCCACCCAAUCUCACCUGGUGGAGAUCAAACCAUCUCAUCUCAGUAGCUACAACAACACCUCAACUAAAUCUGACACAGUAGCUGAUAAAGUGGCCUCUCCCAGAAAGGUUUUCUCAUCCUCUAGGAAGGGGCCUCAGCUCCCUCAUAGCUCCCAUCAUAAGAGAGGUGGCAGUGCAGCCUCCAUGAUGCUGGCUAACUUCUUCAAGAAGAAGAGUAAACCAGAGAUCACAAACUUAAACGGCCCUUUGUUAUCUACAAAAUAGGAUGAGCACCUACCAAACAUUUUUGUCUCAAGACCGUGACUGUGAAGAGGGCAGAUAUUAUUAACCCUAUGUUGGUCAGUCAACUGUCACCAGACAUUGAAGAGCCACCAACAAGGUAGCCGGAGUAAAAGGAUGUCCACAUCACUCAUUCUAUUUGAAGAGGUUGAUGUGGGAUGAUGAUGAUGUGGGAUUCCUCACAGCAAUCAAGACCUUCAUGACGACAACCAAGAGACCAGUGAUACUGACCACUAGUGAUCCCUCCUUCAAGGCAAAGUUUGACGGCGACUUUGAAGCGAUCCUUUUUAAAAACCCCUUCAGUAGUGAAUGUUUGCAGUUAUCUGCAGCUGCUGUGCCUGGCUGAGAACGUCAGGAUGGAUGCUGGGGACAUCACCUCUCUGGUGAGCCUGAACCAGCUACACAUCAGACGUACCCUACUGCAGCUCUGGAUCUGCAGUGGAGGAGGACAAGCAUCUCAGAGGGCAAGGCCACUGAAGGACCCUGCAGUUGGUGUGUAUGGAACUCUGGAUGUUGCUGCAGUGGAAGAUAUUGCAGUGGGUGAAAAUACUUCUCCCCGCCAUCCUCCCUGUGACAUGGGCUGCACUCCGAGCAUGCUGGGGCUCCUGAACUCUGGCCCCAGCCAUGACCUGCAGACCAGU